rnacentral:rRNA from 1 species
GCUAAAAAUCUAGCUCUUCCCCAGCAUAUGCACCCCUCACCCCUAAAUUUGAUCAAAUAAAACAUUUUUUUAGUUUAGUAAAGGAGAUUGAAAAACUUAUUGAAGCAAUAAACCCAGUACCGUAAGGGAAAGAUGAAAUAUUAAUGAAAAUCUUUAAGCAGAAAAAAGUAGAGCCUAAUUCUCGUACCUUUUGCAUCAUGGUUCAACUAGUCUAAUCAAGCAAAAAGCAUUAUAGUUUGACCCCCCGAAACUUAAGCGAGCUACUUCAGGGCAGCUUUACGAGCCAACCCGUCUCUGUUGCAAAAGAGUGGGAAGACCCUCAAGUAGAGGUGACAUACCUACCGAGCUUAGUGAUAGCUGGUUACUCGGGAAAAGGAUUUUAGUCCAACCUAAAGUCUUACUUUUAAAUUAAAAACCUCUAUCGACUUUAGAGCAAUUCAAAUAAGGUACAGCCUAUUUGAAACAGGAUACAACCUCGUCUGAUGGGUAAAAUUUCACCUUAACCUCAAAGUGGGCCUAAAAGCAGCCACCUUUUAAAAAGCGUCACAGCUUAGUUUCCAAAAUCCCCCAAUCCCCUAUAUUCACCUCAACCCUCUAAUAGUACUGAGUAAUUCUAUACUCAUAUAGUAAAUUUUAUGUUGAAACUAGUAACAAGAAGAAAACCCCUUCUCUUAAAUGCAAACAUAAUUCAGAAAGGACCGACCACUGAUAAUUAACGCCCAUGAACAUAUAUUAGCAACCCAUCAAGAGAAACCUAAUUUUUAUAACGUUAACCUGACACAAGAGCAUUUCAAGAAAGAUUAAAAGAAAGAGAAGGAACUCGGCAAAUAUUAACCCCGCCUGUUUACCAAAAACAUCGCCUCUUGACUAAAAAUAAGAGGUCCAGCCUGCCCAGUGACAAAUGUUCAACGGCCGCGGUAUCCUAACCGUGCGAAGGUAGCGUAAUCACUUGUUCUUUAAAUGGGGACUAGUAUGAAUGGCAUCACGAGGGUUAUACUGUCUCCUCUCUCUAAUCAGUGAAACUAAUCCCCCCGUGAAGAAGCGGGGAUAAGUAUAUAAGACGAGAAGACCCUAUGGAGCUUUAAAUUUCUCUCUCAGGCACUAAACUUUCAUCUUAAGUCACUGACCCUUAUUACAACUACCACGGCGCUAUGAAGAUGAAUUUUAGGUUGGGGUGACCGCGGAGUACAAAAAAACCUCCACGCCGAACAGGCCUCUUAACCCUUGAGCAAAGGGCCACAACCCAGAGCACUAAAAAACUAACACCCAUUGACCCAAUUUUAAAUGAUCAACGAACCAAGUUACCCUAGGGAUAACAGCGCAAUCUGCUUCAAGAGUUCCUAUCGACAAGCAGGUUUACGACCUCGAUGUUGGAUCAGGGUAUCCCAGUGGUGCAGCCGCUACUAAAGGUUCGUUUGUUCAACGAUUAAAACCCU